AGCUCCAAUAGCGUAUAUUAAAGUUGUUGCGGUUAGAAAGCUCGUAGUUGGAUUUCUGCUGAGGAUGACCGGUCCGCCCUCUGGGUGAGUAUCUGGCUCAGCCUUGGCAUCUUCCUGAAGAACGUAGCUGCACUUGACUGUGUGGUGCGGUAUUUAGGACAUUUACUUUGAGGAAAUUAGAGUGUUUCAAGCAAGCGCACGCCUUGAAUACAUUAGCAUGGAAUAAUAAGAUAGGACCUCGGUUCUAUUUUGUUGGUUUCUAGGGCUGAGGUAAUGAUUGAUAGGGAUAGUUGGGGGCAUUCGUAUUAUGCGGUCAGAGGUGGAAUUCUUGGAUUCGCAUACGACGAACUACUGCGAAAGCAUUUGCCAAGGAUGUUUUCAU
rnacentral:rRNA from 1 species